rnacentral:lncRNA from 1 species
AGUUUUUUCGGCAAUCUGUUCACAACAGCUCCUGCAAAUACAGAACACCUGAAAGCAAUCUUGCUCCGCCUGGGCAAAAACUAGCUAAAAUUUUAGAUCUUGAAUCAAGAAUUUUGUUUUUGUUAUCUAUUAAUUUUUUCUAAGUAGUGGUAAUCCCCCUCAUAUUUACAUCUAUAUUCACUACGCAACUGUACACACAAUUCAAGAAGAUCCACCAUCUUGAAUAUUUUAUCACUGAAUGUCUCCAUUCUAUGGCUGUCAUUUCUAAACGGAUUAGAAAAUUUUUGUAAGUUAUUGCGUUUGUAAAUAUAAUGUAUAUUUCAAAUAAAUAAUUCCAACUAAAUUUUCAAUCCGUUUAUUU